AUGGUUUUUUAUAAGCUUAGAUUUUUUAUUUUAUCUAUGAUUUAUUAUGAUUUUUCAAAGAUUCAAUAUAAAUAAAUAAAAAAGAAAAAGACAACCACCCUCUAAAACUGCUCGAGAGGAUUAUUUGAUUGGUUUUAAAAAAUUCAAGGGAUAAAAUAUCUAGUUUUAUAAUUUAGGAUAAAGUAAUUCACCUCAGAUAGUUUAAUAAGUUAUGUAGACACUUUCCAUUUGCCAUGCAAAAUAUGUACUAAAUUUUAGUUUAAUACAUCCAAACACCCCUUGUAAAUAAAAAUAUGCCGUUUUUAUGCUGACGACGGCCGAGUUCUAACUUUAGCUACAUUUGAGAGACGUCGGAAUUUGGCACAUGCCUUGGCCUUGUUUAUGUAUUUUUAUUUUGGAUUUUACUACUGUAAUAAUUUUUUUGUUUGUGGCAAAUAUUAUCCAAUCAUACACUAAUUAGUGUUAAAAGAUUCGGCUCGCGAUUUACAGACAAACUAUGU
rnacentral:lncRNA from 1 species